UACGUAGGGUGCGAGCGUUAAUCGGAAUUACUGGGCGUAAAGUGUGCGCAGGUGGCUUCGCAAGUCGAGUGUGAAAUCCCCGGGCUUAACCUGGGAAUUGCGCUCGAAACUACGGAGCUGGAGUAUGGCAGAGGGAGGUGGAAUUCCACGUGUAUCGGUGAAAUGCGUAGAGAUGUGGAGGAACACCAAUGGCGAAGGCAGCCUCCUGGGCCAAUACUGACACUCAUGCACGAAAGCGUGGGGAGCAAACAGG
rnacentral:rRNA from 1 species